rnacentral:rRNA from 1 species
UAAGGAAUCUUCCACAAUGGGCGAAAGCCUGAUGGAGCAACACCGCGUGAAGGAUGAAGGCCCUCGGGUCGUAAACUUCUUUUAUGAGUGAAGAAUAUGACGGUAACUCAUGAAUAAGGGUCGGCUAACUACGUGCCAGCAGCCGCGGUCAUACGUAGGACCCAAGCGUUAUCCGGAGUGACUGGGCGUAAAGAGUUGCGUAGGCGGACAAGUAAGCGAAUAGUAAAAUCUGGUGGCUCAACCAUCAACC